AAUUACAUCUCGCUCAAGACGCAAACAGUGCGUGAAAAGGCGCCGCUCUUUUAUCGGCUUGGCACGACAUCCCACACGCUUCUUUCCCACUCCCAUCAGAGUUGGCUCAGAAAACCAGCUCCUGUCCAUGCCUCAGUCAUAUCUCUGCUUUGUUGAUAACAAGGGACCACAAAGAGAGACUACAGUGAUCAGGCAACUGCGCAUCAGACUCGCAAGUGUCUUUCCAUGAAAUGUUGACCUCCCUGGAGUGCAUCCGGGGAGAACAAGAAUGAGGGCAGCAGAGUAAACAGGUUGCACGUGAUUACAAGGAAUUACAAAAUCACCAAGCUUGCCACGAGGAGACAAUUGAUGACACAGAAAGCACUGACAACUGGUACAGAAUAGACGGAAAAAUUUCUGUGUCAAGCCAGCACUUCCGCAUGUGAUAGGAAAUGACUAGACAUACUUAGGAGUUCGAAUGCACAAAUCAUAAUACUGCAGUACUCUCGACGAAACUGCAGGUGAGCUGACCGACGGGGACUUAAAUGAG
rnacentral:lncRNA from 1 species